AUUGAACGCUGGCGGAAUGCUUUACACAUGCAAGUCGAACGGUAGCACGGACUUCGGUCUGGUGGCGAGUGGCGAACGGGUGAGUAAUGUAUCGGAACGUGCCCAGUCGUGGGGGAUAACGUAGUGAAAAUUACGCUAAUACCGCAUACGAUCUAUGGAUGAAAGCGGGGGAUCGCAAGACCUCGCGCGAUUGGAGCGGCCGAUAUCAGAUUAGGGAGUUGGUGGGGUAAAGGCUCACCAAGCCAACGAUCUGUAGCUGGUCUGAGAGGACGACCAGCCACACUAGAACUGAGACACGGUCCAGACUCCUACGGGAGACAGCAGUGGGGAAUUUUGGACAAUGGGCGAAAGCCUGAUCCAGCCAUUCCGCGUGCAGGAUGAAGGCCCUCGGGUUGUAAACUGCUUUUGUACAGAACGAAAAGGUUUCUACUAAUACUAGGAGCUCAUGACGGUACUGUAAGAAUAAGCACCGGCUAACUACGUGCCAGCCGCCGCCGCGG
rnacentral:rRNA from 1 species